CGAAAUGCGAUAAGUAAUGUGAAUUGCAGAAUUCAGUGAAUCAUCGAAUCUUUGAACGCACCUUGCGCUCCUUGGUAUUCCUUGGAGCAUGCCUGUUUGAGUAUCAUGAAAUCUUCAAAGUAAAUCUUUUGUUAACUCAAUUGGUUUCUACUUUGGUAUUGGAGGUCUUUGCAGCUUCACACCUGCUCCUCUUUGUUCAUUAGCUGGAACUCAGUGUUAUGCUUGGUUCCACUCGGCGUGAUAAGUUAUCUAUCGCUGAGGACACUGUAAAAGGUGGCCAAGGUAAAUGCAGAUGAACCGCUUCUAAUAGUCCAUUGACUUGGACAAUACUUUUAUGAUCUGAUCUCAAAUCAGGUAGGACUACCCGCUGAACUUAAGC
rnacentral:misc_RNA from 1 species